UAAUACGAAGGGUGCAAGCGUUACUCGGAAUUACUGGGCGUAAAGCGUGCGUAGGUGGUCGUUUAAGUCCGUUGUGAAAGCCCUGGGCUCAACCUGGGAACUGCAGUGGAUACUGGGCGACUAGAGUGUGGUAGAGGGUAGCGGAAUUCCUGGUGUAGCAGUGAAAUGCGUAGAGAUCAGGAGGAACAUCCAUGGCGAAGGCAGCUACCUGGACCAACACUGACACUGAGGCACGAAAGCGUGGGGAGCAAACAGGAUUAGAUACCCUGGUAGUCCACGCCCUAAACGAUGCGAACUGGAUGUUGGGUGCAAUUUGGCACGCAGUAUCGAAGCUAACGCGUUAAGUUCGCCGCCUGGGGAGUACGGUCGCAAGACUGAA
rnacentral:rRNA from 1 species